GAUGAACGCUAGCGGCAGGCCUAAUACAUGCAAGUCGAACGGGAUCUGAGGGUAGCUUGCUACCCGAUUUGAGAGUGGCGCACGGGUGCGUAACGCGUGAGCAACCUACCCAUAUCAGGGGGAUAGCCCGAAGAAAUUCGGAUUAACACCGCAUAAUAAUACGCUAACACAUGUUGAUGUAUUUAAAUAUUUAUAGGAUAUGGAUGGGCUCGCGUGACAUUAGCUAGUUGGUAAGGUAACGGCUUACCAAGGCGACGAUGUCUAGGGGCUCUGAGAGGAGAAUCCCCCACACUGGUACUGGGACACGGACCAGACUCCUACGGGAGGCAGCAGUAAGGAAUAUUGGUCAAUGGGCGCAAGCCUGAACCAGCCAUGCCGCGUGCAGGAUGACUGCCCUAUGGGUUGUAAACUGCUUUUGUUAGGGAAUAAACCUUCUUACGUGUAAGGAGCUGAAUGUACCUAAAGAAUAAGGAUCGGCUAACUCCGUGCCAGCCGCCGCGGUAA
rnacentral:rRNA from 1 species